rnacentral:rRNA from 1 species
UACGGGGGGUGCGAGCGUUGUCCGGAAUCACUGGGCGUAAAGGGCGCGUAGGUGGUCUGAUAAGGGUGUGGUGAAAGCCCGGGGCUCAACCCCGGGUCGGCCGUGCCGACUGUCAGACUAGAGUACUGUAGGGGCAGGCGGAAUUCCGGGUGUAGCGGUGGAAUGCGUAGAGAUCCGGAGGAAGACCGGUGGCGAAGGCGGCCUGCUGGGCAGUUACUGACACUGAGGCGCGACAGCGUGGGGAGCAAACAGG